AUGCUCGCUUCGGCAGCACGUAUACUAAAAUUUAAACAUACAGAGAAGAUCAGCAUGGCACCUGAGCAAGGAUGACAUGCAAAUUCAUGGAGCAUUCCAUAUUUUC